GACGAACGCUGGCGGCGUGCUUAACACAUGCAAGUCGAACGGAAAGGCCCUGCUUUUGUGGGGUGCUCGAGUGGCGAACGGGUGAGUAACACGUGAGUAACCUGCCCUUGACUUUGGGAUAACUUCAGGUAACUGGGGCUAAUACCGUAUAGGAUCUCCUGCUGCAUGGUGGGGGUUGGAACGUUUCGGCUGUUGGGGAUGGACUCGCGGCUUAUCAGCUUGUUGGUGGGGUAGUGGCUUACCAAGGCUUUGACGGGUAGCCGGCCUGAGAGGGUGACCGGCCACAUGGGGACUGAGAGACGGCGCAGACGCGUACGGGAGGCAGCAGGGGGGAAUAUUGCACAAUGGGCGGAAGCGGGAGGCAGAAACGCCGGGUGCGGGAUGACGGCCUUCGGGUUGUAAACCGCUGUCGCCUGUGACGAAGCGGGAGUGACGGUAAUGGGUAAAGAAGCACCGGCUAACUACGUG
rnacentral:rRNA from 1 species